AAAAAAUGCCAUACCUAUUGAGUCUUUGAUGGUUCUCAAAGUAUUCCUCAAUCUUUCAGUCCAUCAGUAACGUUAUUUUAAGAGCAAUUGUCCUAACAUAAAAGUCCGGUAACACAUGAAGAAGUAUAUAUGAGAAAUAAUAGAUGAGCUUUUUUACUUGUUUGUUCCAUAAAAAUUGCUUACAAAUUGUAUGAAGACAUUCUGAAAAUGUUAGGAUUCUUUGGAUCGUAGACUGUAAAACAAAUGGCUUCUCAGAGUAAAUUGUUAUUUGCUAAAAUUGACUUUUUGAUUGUUACACCUGAAAAAAUAUAUUCAUCUAAUUGUUCCCUUUAUUUUAGAAGCCUGAGUUACACUGAUUAGAUAGAUAUUCAAUUUAUAAUUUGAAGCUGUUAGGUUCCUUAAACUGUCUCUUCUCUUCCGUACAUUUUAUCUAUUAUCACAACUGUAAUCUUAACAAAUAAUACACUUUUUAAUGUCUUCGCGUUAGGAUGUAUUGCCGUGUUUUUCAUAUAAAAUUCAGUUGAUUUGAAACGGCACAUUCGUUAGCUGUUCAUUUGUGAGGUGUAAGCUCAGGCAGAUCCAACAAUUGCAUACAGAUUGUCUUUGAUCCUCUUGCACAUUUUUCAUGGAGAAGACACUUCAGCAAGCAGGCUUGAGCUAUUUUCCAGUUGAGUGGGAUUGGGAAACAGUGCACAAGACCAGGCAAGUAAUGUUUUCUUGUAUCUGGUUGAGGAAAUUGAUCUCCUUUGCAGGGUCAGAGAAAGUACUGUUAUUCUCACAAGACUGAAUGUGGGACCAGAAAAAUACAGUCAAGCCAUCAGAUUGCUUAAAUUUUGAAGGAAAAAAAGGAAUUUUCUAUCUUAAUACUGACUAUAAGGUACUUUCACUCGAAAGUAUUUAAAAUAUUUUGAAUUAAACCUGUCUUUAAAAAUAACACUAAUAAUGUUACUAAAAAAUGUAAUUUGCUGAAAUAAAUUCUGUAUGAUCUU
rnacentral:lncRNA from 1 species